rnacentral:rRNA from 1 species
AUUGAACGCUGGCGGCAUGCCUUACACAUGCAAGUCGAACGGCAGCACGGGAGCAAUCCUGGUGGCGAGUGGCGAACGGGUGAGUAAAGUAUCGGAACGUGCCCAGUCGUGGGGGAUAACGUAGCGAAAGUUACGCUAAUACCGCAUACGAUCUAUGGAUGAAAGCGGGGAAUCGCAAGACCUCGCGCGAUUGGACCGGCCGAUAUCAGAUUAGGUAGUUGGUGGGGUAAAGGCUCACCAAGCCGACGAUCUGUAGCUGGUCUGAGAGGACGACCAGCCACACUGGGACUGAGACACGGCCCAGACUCCUACGGGAGGCAGCAGUGGGGAAUUUUGGACAAUGGGCGAAAGCCUGAUCCAGCCAUGCCGCGUGCAGGAUGAAGGCCUUCGGGUUGUAAACUGCUUUUGUACGGAACGAAAAGGUUUGGGCUAAUAAGCUGAGCUCAUGACGGUACCGUAAGAAUAAGCACCGGCUAACUACGUGCCAGCCGCCGCGGUAA